AUCAAGAUAAAAACAAACAAAUCCCAAUUUGAGGAACUUCUUACAAAUGUACUUAACCAGUACUCCUGAACACUGUUAAUGAAAAACAAGGAAAGACUGAGAAUCUGUCACAGACCAGAGAACACUAAGGAGAUGUCACAACUAAAUGCAACGUGUGUCCUGGAUUAGAUCCUGGAAAAGAAAAAGGACAUCAGUGGAGAAACUAGUGGCAUCCAAAUCAAGCCUGGAAUUUAGUUACCAGUAAUGGAUACACGAAUCUGAAAUGCAUGACCAGCAAGACGUGGAGGGUGCAGAGUCCUGCUUGUGAGGACUUAGCUGGCCCAGGAACGGUGGUUCAAUUCACAGUAACAAUCCCCAAGAGUAUAAGUGAGCCAGAGCACAGCGGAUAAGAACCUGGGCUCUGAAGACAAACAGACCAAGAUCCUCCGAAAGGCAUUUCUGGCAUCAGUGUGGAAACUGUUGGGAAGAGAGCAAGAGCAGAUGUGGUUGGCCAGCUGGGAAGCUACAGCAGGGGUGACAUCAGAAGCUGACUGGGCGAAUACUG